rnacentral:lncRNA from 1 species
AACAGCGUGAGAAGUCGUGUGACCGAAAACGGCAAGCACUACUGGGAACAGCAGUGUACCUCCACGCAACAUCUAAGCAUCACCGGGGUUCUAACCAAG